rnacentral:snoRNA from 1 species
UCGACUUUACUCUUCAGGAUCUGAUAGUUCAGUCAAUGUCCAUCUGUUGUUUCCCAACAACAUUUGGCACCAGUACAAGGUGGACGACGACGUGCAGGACCGGCUCUGAAAAGGGAGGCGUGCGGAUGCUCUUGUCCCUUUGGACAUGGUGACUGCAAUCGAUAAUUUUGUCCGUGCCGCCUAUUCCAGAUGCGGCGUGGACCCGGUCCAUUCUGAAACCC